GGGGUUGUGGCUCAGUGGUAGAGCUGCUCUACCGCCUUGCAUGUGCAAGACCCUGGGUUCGAUCCUCAGCACCACA
rnacentral:tRNA from 1 species